rnacentral:rRNA from 1 species
GACGAACGCUGGCGGCGUGCCUAAUACAUGCAAGUAGAACGCACAGUUUAUACCGUAGCUUGCUACACCAUAGACUGUGAGUUGCGAACGGGUGAGUAACGCGUAGGUAACCUGCCUGGUAGCGGGGGAUAACUAUUGGAAACGAUAGCUAAUACCGCAUAAUAUUAAUUAUUGCAUGAUAAUUAAUUGAAAGGUGCAAUUGCACCACUAUCAGAUGGACCUGCGUUGUAUUAGCUAGUAGGUGAGGUAACGGCUCACCUAGGCGACGAUACAUAGCCGACCUGAGAGGGUGAUCGGCCACACUGGGACUGAGACACGGCCCAGACUCCUACGGGAGGCAGCAGUAGGGAAUCUUCGGCAAUGGACGAAAGUCUGACCGAGCAACGCCGCGUGAGUGAAGAAGGUUUUCGGAUCGUAAAGCUCUGUUGUAAGAGAAGAACGGGUGUGAGAGUGGAAAGUUCACACUGUGACGGUAUCUUACCAGAAAGGGACGGCUAACUACGUG